rnacentral:rRNA from 1 species
UGGGGAAUAUUGCACAAUGGGCGCAAGCCUGAUGCAGCAACGCCGCGUGAACGAUGAAGGUCUUCGGAUCGUAAAGUUCUGUUGCAGGGGAAGAUAAUGACGGUACCCUGUGAGGAAGCCCCGGCUAACUACGUGCCAGCAGCCGCGGUAAUACGUAGGGGGCUAGCGUUAUCCGGAUUUACUGGGCGUAAAGGGUGCGUAGGUGGUCUUUCAAGUCGGUGAUUAAAGGCUACGGCUCAACCGUAGUUAGCCUCCGAAACUGGAAGACUUGAGUGCAGGAGAGGAAAGUGGAAUUCCCAGUGUAGCGGUGAAAUGCGUAGAUAUUGGGAGGAACACCAGUAGCGAAGGCGGCUUUCUGGACUGCAACUGACACUGAGGCACGAAAGCGUGGGUAGCAAACAGG